rnacentral:rRNA from 1 species
AGAGUUUGAUCCUGGCUCAGGAUGAACGCUAGCGACAGGCUUAACACAUGCAAGUCGAGGGGCAGCAUGGUAGGUAGCAAUACUUAUUGAUGGCGACCGGCGCACGGGUGAGUAACGCGUAUGCAACUUACCUAUCAGAGGAGGAUAGCCCGGCGAAAGUCGGAUUAAUACUCCAUAAAACAGGGGUCCCGCAUGGGACUAUUUGUUAAAGAUUCAUCGCUGAUAGAUAGGCAUGCGUUCCAUUAGGCAGUUGGCGGGGUAACGGCCCACCAAACCGACGAUGGAUAGGGGUUCUGAGAGGAAGGUCCCCCACAUUGGUACUGAGACACGGACCAAACUCCUACGGGAGGCAGCAGUGAGGAAUAUUGGUCAAUGGCCGAGAGGCUGAACCAGCCAAGUCGCGUGAAGGAUGAAGGAUCUAUGGUUUGUAAACUUCUUUUAUAGGGGAAUAAAGUGUGGGACGUGUCCCAUUUUGUAUGUACCCUAUGAAUAAGCAUCGGCUAACUCCGUGCCAGCAGCCGCGGUAAUACGGAGGAUGCGAGCGUUAUCCGGAUUUAUUGGGUUUAAAGGGUGCGUAGGUGGUAAUUUAAGUCAGCGGUGAAAGUUUGUGGCUCAACCAUAAAAUUGCCGUUGAAACUGGGUUACUUGAGUGUGUUUGAGGUAGGCGGAAUGCGUGGUGUAGCGGUGAAAUGCAUAGAUAUCACGCAGAACUCCAAUUGCGAAGGCAGCUUACUAAACCAUAACUGACACUGAAGCACGAAAGCGUGGGUAUCAAACAGGAUUAGAUACCCUGGUAGUCCACGCAGUAAACGAUGAUUACUAGGAGUUUGCGAUACACAGUAAGCUCUACAGCGAAAGCGUUAAGUAAUCCACCUGGGGAGUACGCCGGCAACGGUGAAACUCAAAGGAAUUGACGGGGGCCCGCACAAGCGGAGGAACAUGUGGUUUAA